rnacentral:rRNA from 1 species
CCUACGGGUGGCAUCAGUGGGGAAUAUUGGACAAUGGGCGAAAGCCUGAUCCAGCCAUGCCGCGUGAGUGAUGAAGGCCCUAGGGUUGUAAAGCUCUUUUAACGGGGAAGAUAAUGACGGUACCCGUAGAAUAAGCCCCGGCUAACUUCGUGCCAGCAGCCGCGGUAAUACGAAGGGGGCUAGCGUUGCUCGGAAUCACUGGGCGUAAAGCGCACGUAGGCGGACUCUUAAGUCGGUGGUGAAAUCCUGGAGCUCAACUCCAGAACUGCCUCCGAUACUGGGAGUCUCGAGUUCGGGAGAGGUGAGUGGAACUGCGAGUGUAGAGGUGAAAUUCGUAGAUAUUCGCAAGAACACCAGUGGCGAAGGCGGCUCACUGGCCCGAUACUGACGCUGAGGUGCGAAAGCGUGGGGAGCAAACA